rnacentral:rRNA from 1 species
GACGAACGCUGGCGGCGUGCCUAAUACAUGCAAGUUGAGCGCUGAAGGUUGGUACUUGUACCAACUGGAUGAGCAGCGAACGGGUGAGUAACGCGUGGGGAAUCUGCCUUUGAGCGGGGGACAACAUUGGGAAACGAAUGCUAAUCCCGCAUAAAACCUUUAAACACAAGUUUAAAGUUUGAAAGAUGCAAUUGACUCACUCAAAGAUGAUCCCGCGUUGUAUUAGCUAGUUGGUGAGGUAAAGGCUCACCAAGGCGAUGAUACAUAGCCGACCUGAGAGGGUGAUCGGCCACAUUGGGACUGAGACACGGCCCAAACUCCUACGGGAGGCAGCAGUAGGGAAUCUUCGGCAAUGGACGAAAGUCUGACCGAGCAACGCCGCGUGAGUGAAGAAGGUUUUCGGAUCGUAAAACUCUGUUGGUAGAGAAGAACGUUGGUGAGAGUGGAAAGCUCAUCAAGUGACGGUAACUACCCAGAAAGGGACGGCUAACUACGUG